UUCUUAAAAUAAUUCGGUAUUGAAAAAACAUCAUUUGUGUUAUUUAGGGAACCAGUAAAAGUACCAUAUACAUUUAAACUGCUGAUAUACUUGAGCACAGGAGAAAAGGAUGCUUGGUGAGGAUGUGAACUGAGUUUUUCAUCUACAUCUUCAAAUAAAAGCAGUGUGAUUGGUUUGGGCUGGAGGCAGAUAGACUGCUACAAGCUACUUGCUAACUUCUUUUUUUUUUUUCUCAGUAAAUAUCCUCAUAAUCUUUAGUCCCUCAAAUCAGAUGCCAUUGUCCAGUUUCUGAUUCGUGGCCCAUUAAGGUCUCAUGUACAGAUUUCAAUAAAGUCUAGAGCUUUGUGUAAAUAAACAACUUUACAAAAUCCUUAUAAAACAUUUGCCAAUUGCUGUUAAUACAGUUCAUGUCAAUACACAAACUGUUGUUCAGCACAAAAGUUCUGCAUUUAGCUCUCAACAUAUGUCUGAUUCUGUGUCCUAGGAGUACAGUAGACACCUUGGCAUAACGUAGCAGCACAUAAUGGUUUGUGGGUUUUGAAAAGGUGCAGGCCAUAUUGUGCUGCCUCAAAAAUACAAGGAUUUCAUCAUCCUGAAGAGAAACGUCACGUAGGAAUUAGUCAAUCUGGUGAUGCUGAUGUCUGUCAUGCUCUAGCAGCACGUAAAUAUUGGUGUUAAAACUGUAAAUAUCUCCAGUAUUAACUGUGCUGCUGAAGUAAGGCUAGCCACUUCUGCAUGUGAGUCAUGAGAAAGGACGUUUGUAUUCCUUGAAGUUGCUUUGUUGUUGCCUAUACGUUGAUUGUUUAUGAACAUUUUCUUGGCUUGGUUUGUAUUUUCAUCUAGUCAGUAACAAUAUAUAGGAAUUCAUAUUAUCCAAUGGCAAACGUGGAGUAGGUGCACGUGUAAUCUUGACUGCUUUGGUUUACAUGCAAGCUGAAUUUAUUAAAGGAGUCAUCUCAACCUAUACCUCUCUAACAGUGCUUUGGUAAGUGUGUUUUUAUAUAUAUUUAUAUAUAUAAUUAUAAAAAUGGCAUUACUUUAAAUGUCAAUGUAUCUUUAUUAAGACUCCUGUAACUAUGUUAAUUUUUACAGCGUUUUCUUAAUGGAUGGAAAUUGGGAAAUGUUUUGUGGUAUUUUUAGCAAAGCAAGAACAUACAGCAGAAACACCUUCCAAAAUUACUAACAGAACUUAUUCAGAUCUCCAUUUUAUAUCUUAAACAUUAAUUUCUUAAUUCAUUUCCUAAACUACAAGCAGCUGAAAAUUCUCACCCUAACAUUGUUAACUAUAUAAGUGACUGAAUUUACUAAUUCUUUUCUCAUCUUCCACUGACACGUUUCUUUUGCAGGGGAAUCUUUCAUUGAGAUGAUUGAAAUUGCUGCAGUGAGAAUGGAAAUUACUUGGGAUCCUUUCCUUUUAAAAGCCAUAUGCAAGAACUGUGUGAGAUAUACCUGCAAGGAUGUGCUGUCUUCAGUGAUGGAAUGGAACUCUCCUGCACUUCCAACUCUGGGGUCCUACGGAUUUUGCCUAACUGAAGAAAGGAAGGUGUAUUAUAUUCAGUUCAAAUGCUUAUUUUUCUGCUAGGCUUAAGAACUGUGAGGGGAAGAAGAUGCUUAAUUCAUAUAUGAAGGGAAAUAAAAGAAAGGCCUGCUUGAAAAUAGCUUGAGACUAGUUGCUUUUCAAGAGUGAAGACAACUGGUGAGAGGAGCAUGUCUGAAACUCCAGUGUUGGAAGAUUGGAGCUGCAAACUGGUAGGGGAAAGAGAUGUAAAACUGGAAAAUUGGCAGGACUGAUACAGGUUGGGCAAGGAUUCAGGGGCUUGUUUCCAUCUUGAAGAUGGAAGAAGCAGCAGCUUAACAGAAGGAACCCUGCCUGAUUCUGCAAAGAGAAGGUCAAGCUUGGGGAAAGCAGAUCGGUGUUAACAUUUACUAGAAUGCACUUAAGUCAGACUGUUACCUAGUAGUUUUUGCUGUGAAAUCACUGUCACUUUCAUUUCUCUCUCAUCCAAUUCCACGGAGGGCAACUUUAUUACUGCAGUCAGCUACUUCAUAAAAUUUCAUCCUGAAAAGGCAUCCCAAAAAUUAGAAAGUAGUUGAGGGGCCUCUGGAGAUCCUAGAGCCUAAGCAGGAUCAGGCAGAACAGAUCUCUCAGGGCUGUACCCAAUAUUAAUUUGCCCCCCUUGUGUUAGUCUACUAUGAAGCAAUCUUCAUGAUCAUAUGGAAUAUUUAAUGAUAGGACCGGCGUGGUGUGCUGCUGAGUCAGGGAAGAUGUUUGUAGGCUGUGCAAGGAAGAAGCCUGAUGCUGCUACAGCACCUGUAGAAAUAGGUUGAAAAUUCUGUAGGGAGUGGACCAAAGCCUACAAGCAGAGGAAGCCGUGUCUUCUUGGUUACAUGAAAUGAGCAAUCCUAGGAAUUGGAUGUUAUCUUUACUUUUCUGUUUUUAUUUUUGUAUGAUGCUAAACAAUUUACUAGGCCAUUGAUUUUUGUAGUGUUUAUCUUGCUCACUUCACAGGUGACUUUAAGCUGUCAUGUCCAAUGGAAACACUGGAUGUCCACAUUUGCAGCUGAUCUGCUGAAGAAUUGUAAACAUGAAUUCAAACUUUAUGUAAUGCUAAGUCUGUCUGUAGUUUCCUACAUAUUUUAAGUGAGGUACCUCAAACUGUUGGGUACUACUGUAGUUUCUAUUUCUUCAUGUCACACUUAAAGUAGGGAUGAUGAUCACUUGAAGGGAUGUUUUUUCUAUUUUUGCUUGUUUAAAAUGUGUUUAGUAGAUGUGCUACAGGGAUGUGUUUCUUCAUGGAGUUUUCUAUGGCAUAUAUGACUUCAGAUCACAAAGGAAGAGGUAAGUAUUGUGUGUUACCUUGUUACCAGUUCAAGCUGAGAAUACUUCUUGACAUUUCAAAAGUGGUUUCCUUGGUACGGGAGACUGCAGGCUUUACUGGAUGAGAGGAGUUCCAUAUUUGAUAUUCAGAUACAGAGAUAUGAAAAGCUUUCAGCUUUUCCCUUAAUGUGUAUGAGAUACCACAAUCUGGGGAACUGUCUCUCGCAGUCAAGUAGCACUAAUUUGCCAAAAGCUUAAUUUCCUUCAGGUUCCUUGUUGCCACCUCCUAUCAUCAAAGUCGCAAGAAAUGAUUUAUAGCAGUAAGUUCAAAGUCAUGUGCUACUACAUUAUCACAGUUUAACUCAAAGAAAGCACCAAUUCUCUAAAACUUCUGUGUCUGGAGUAUAUGUUAAUCUCCAAAUUUCUAAGAUGGCAGUUGUAAGCAUAUGUCAGAGCGUUUAACUAUAAACGGAAAUAAGAAAAAAUGGUGGAAAAAGUGCAGUGGCGUAAGUGACAUCGCUAAUCUCUUUCUGUGAGGGAAUUAGUAUCACUUGGUUAGCAUCCUAAACAGUUUAUUUCUGUUGGAAGUUAUUUAACAGCUCCCAGGUACAGCUCUCUUUUUCAGAAUCUGACUCGCUUAUAAUAGGUCUGUGUUAAUAAAUCAAAUGUAACUUAGCUAAUAUUGCUUACUUUUUGUACUGUAAAAUUUGAUCCCUGUAUUCAACAUUUCUGAAAUAAACAUUAAUUAUAGUAGCAUGUA